CUGAUUUACCUUCUCGGCACUAUGUUUAUCGGUGGGGUUAUCACUUCAAGAUGGAUUUUCUUUUCGUAUUAAUAAAAGAAAUGAGUAGCGAUAAAAUCAAAGUUAAGGAAAAUUUAAAAAGGGACAAAACCGUCAACGUCGAUAUAAAACUCAGUAAAGGCGGACUGAAUCUUGGUUACGUUAAAUCCAAGACAACCAACAUCAAGUACGUUACAUCGUGUAAGGAAGGUAAAGCGGGACCGUCAACAAAAGCUGUGAAGGGAGAAAAACCAAAGUCAGCGAAAAAUAAAAAGAAGAAUAUAUAAAAUGGGAUGUUUACACACAAAACCUGAGACCACAAACGGAGUGAAGUACGACAAGAACCACCGGAAAAG